GCUGAAAGCAUGCACAGCCGCUACAGUGAAACUGCAAAUGGCUCAUUAAAUCAGUUAUGGUUCCUUUGAUCGCUCCAUCUGUCACUUGGAUAACUGUGGUAAUUCUAGAGCCGACGAGUGCUAGGGGACAGCUGCUCCGCUUUUGAGCACAGGUAGGUUGUCUGGCACGUUGUUUUGGUGUUUGUUUUUUAACUUUGUAGUUGUGUCUUUCACAAUAUAGAAAUGUAUAUUAAUGCUUCUGUAUAUGAAGCGAUCACAAUAACACUUAUUUUUCACUUUAAAAAAAAAAUCAGGCUAAACAAAAAUUGGUAAUUAAAAAUAUGACAUCUGAA